rnacentral:rRNA from 1 species
UACGUAGGUGGCAAGCGUUAUCCGGAUUUAUUGGGCGUGAAGGGAACGCAGGCGGUCUUUUAAGUCUGAUGUGAAAGCCUUCGGCUUAACCGGAGUAGUGCAUUGGAAACUGGGAGACUUGAGUGCAGAAGAGGAGAGUGGAACUCCAUGUGUAGCGGUGAAAUGCGUAGAUAUAUGGAAGAACACCAGUGGCGAAAGCGGCUCUCUGGUCUGUAACUGACGCUGAGGUUCGAAAGCGUGGGUAGCAAACAGG